rnacentral:rRNA from 1 species
GGACUACCGGGGUAUCUAAUCCUGUUUGCUCCCCAAGCUUUCGCGCCUGAGCGUCAGCAGUCGGCCAGGGCACUGCCUUCGCCAUUGGUGUUCCUCCGGAUCUCUACGCAUUUCACCGCUCCACCCGGAAUUCCAUGCCCCUCUCCGACGCUCAAGUCAUGCCGUAUUUGUGGACCUCUCCUAGUUGAGCCAGGAGCUUUCACCACAAACGCGCACGACCGCCUGCGCGCCCUUUACGCCCAGUAACUCCGGACAACGCUCGCCUCCUACGUAUUACCGCGGCUGCUGGCAC